rnacentral:rRNA from 1 species
GUAGCAAUACCGCUGACGACCGGCGCACGGGUGAGUAACACGUAUCCAACCUACCAUUCACACGGGGAUAGCCUUUCGAAAGAAAGAUUAAUACCCGAUAGUAUAGCGAUAAGGCAUCUUAUUGCUAUUAAAGAAUUUCGGUGUUUGAUGGGGAUGCGUUCCAUUAGAUUGUUGGUGAGGUAACGGCUCACCAAGUCUUCGAUGGAUAGGGGUUCUGAGAGGAAGGUCCCCCACAUUGGAACUGAGACACGGUCCAAACUCCUACGGGAGGCAGCAGUGAGGAAUAUUGGUCAAUGGACGAGAGUCUGAACCAGCCAAGUAGCGUGAAGGAUGAAGGCCCUAUGGGUCGUAAACUUCUUUUAUAGGGGAAUAAAGUGCGGAACGUGUUCCGUUUUGUAUGUACCCUACGAAUAAGGAUCGGCUAACUCCGUGCCAGCAGCCGCGGUAAUACGGAGGAUCCGAGCGUUAUCCGGAUUUAUUGGGUUUAAAGGGAGCGUAGGUGGACGUAUAAGUCAGUUGUGAAAGUUUGCGGCUCAACCGUAAAAUUGCAGUUGAUACUGUAUGUCUUGAGUGUACAAGAGGUGGGCGGAAUUCGUGGUGUAGCGGUGAAAUGCUUAGAUAUCACGAAGAACUCCGAUUG